rnacentral:rRNA from 1 species
UGGCUCAGGAUGAACGCUGGCGGUAUGCUUAACACAUGCAAGUCGAACGAUGUUUUAGGACAUAGUGGCGGACGGGUGAGUAACGCGUGAGAAUCUACCUUCAGGUCGGGGACAACAGUUGGAAACGGCUGCUAAUACCGGAUGUGCCGAGAGGUGAAAGGCUUGCUGCCUGAAGAAGAGCUCGCGUCUGAUUAGCUAGUUGGUGGUGUAAAGGACUACCAAGGCGACGAUCAGUAGCUGGUCUGAGAGGAUGAUCAGCCACACUGGGACUGAGACACGGCCCAGACUCCUACGGGAGGCAGCAGUGGGGAAUUUUCCGCAAUGGGCGAAAGCCUGACGGAGCAAUACCGCGUGAGGGAGGAAGGCUCUUGGGUCGUAAACCUCUUUUCUUAGGGAAUAAAAAAAUGAAGGUACCUAAGGAAUAAGCAUCGGCUAACUCCGUGCCAGCAGCCGCGGUAAUACGGAGGAUGCAAGCGUUAUCCGGAAUGAUUGGGCGUAAAGGGUCUGUAGGUGGCGGUGAAAGUCUGCGGUUAAAGAGUCUAGCUCAACUAGAUAAAAGCCGUGGAAACUACACAGCUAGAGUGCGGUAGGGGCAAGAGGAAUUCCUGGUGUAGCGGUGAAAUGCGUAGAUAUCAGGAAGAACACCGGUGGCGAAAGCGUCUUGCUAGACCUGCACUGACACUGAGGGACGAAAGCUAGGGGAGCGAAUGGGAUUAGAUACCCCAGUAGUCCUAGCCGUAAACGAUGGAUACUAGGCGUGGCUCGUAUCGACCCGAGCCGUGCCGGAGCUAACGCGUUAAGUAUCCCGCCUGGGGAGUACGCACGCAAGUGUGAAACU